CUCCAGUCAAUUUGGUCAUACCUAAGCCGUCUAAAUUAAAAUAUGCUCCUCCUCUUGUCCAUCUCGGGAGUUCCCGUCUGGUUUGUGGUUGUAUAGUCGUUCGUAGAAUUCUUCAAAGACCGUCGCAAUGUCUGUUGGUUUUGUUUUUGUUGUGCCGUCCGAAUGUUUGAUGGCUGUGAUGUGACACCGGUCUUGCCUAGGUUGUAGCGUCCUGGCUAG